rnacentral:rRNA from 1 species
AGCUCCAAUAGCGUAUAUUAAAGUUGCUGCAGUUAAAAAGCUCGUAGUUGGAUCUUGGGAGCGGGCGGGCGGUCCGCCGCGAGGCGAGCCACCGCCCGUCCCCGCCCCUUGCCUCUCGGCGCCCCCUCGAUGCUCUUAGCUGAGUGUCCCGCGGGGCCCGAAGCGUUUACUUUGAAAAAAUUAGAGUGUUCAAAGCAGGCCCGAGCCGCCUGGAUACCGCAGCUAGGAAUAAUGGAAUAGGACCGCGGUUUAUCU